rnacentral:rRNA from 1 species
GUUGAACGCUGGCGGCAUGCCUUACACAUGCAAGUCGAACGGCAGCGACGGGGGCAACCCUGGUGGCGAGUGGCGAACGGGUGAGUAAUACAUCGGAACGUGCCCAGUAGUGGGGGAUACGCCCGGCGAAAGGCCGGAUUAAUACCGCAUACGACCUACGGGUGAAAGCGGGGAUCGCAAGACCUCGUGCUACCGGAGCGGCCGAUGUCAGAUUAGGUUGUUGG